UACAGAGGGGGCAAGCGUUGUUCGGAAUUACUGGCGUAAAGGGCGCGUAGGCGGCCUUCUAAGUCGAACGUGAAAUCCCCGGGCUCAACCCGGGAACUGCGUCCGAUACUGGAAGGCUUGAAUCCGGGAGAGGGAUGUGGAAUUCCAGGUGUAGCGGUGAAAUGCGUAGAUAUCUGGAGGAACACCGGUGGCGAAGGCGACAUCCUGGACCGGUAUUGACGCUGAGGCGCGAAAGCCAGGGGAGCAAACGGG
rnacentral:rRNA from 1 species